CUCUGGGUGGUACAGAUGGUUAAAGCACUUGGCUGGUAACCAAGAGGUUGGCGGUUCGAGUCCACCCACAGGCA
rnacentral:tRNA from 1 species